UACGGAGGGGGCUAGCGUUGUUCGGAAUUACUGGGCGUAAAGCGCACGUAGGCGGCUUUGUAAGUUAGAGGUGAAAGCCCGGGGCUCAACUCCGGAAUUGCCUUUAAGACUGCAUCGCUAGAAUUGUGGAGAGGUAAGUGGAAUUCCGAGUGUAGAGGUGAAAUUCGUAGAUAUUCGGAAGAACACCGGUGGCGAAGGCGGCUCUCUGGACCGAUACUGACGGCUGAGGCACGGAAAGCGUGGGGAGCAAACACGG
rnacentral:rRNA from 1 species